UAUUCUGCUUAACUAAACUGCACUGUAGCACACCGUAAACUCUAUUAGACUUUUCGACGUUAAACCUAACUCACAAGAAUGAGGUUCUUAGGCGUUCUCUUUCUUCUUGUUAUAACAAUAGUAGAUGUCAAAAGUCAAGCCAGUAAAUGCGAUCCCAGAAUUCCACCGGCAAUUAGACCGUACUGUGCUGUUGACGUCAACUGCAGUUAUAAUGCCAAAAAUGUUUGGGCAGCAAGGUACGAGAUGUGCUUGAGAAAUGAACAAGGAAAGCCAAAAUUUUUGCAACUAAACGCGGGAAAAUGCCCUUCUGGCCAGCCUGCAUGCCUUAGCUCUUCUCCGAAUUAAUGCAUUACCUAAGCCGUUAAUUCUAGCUUAAGGGUACUAAAAAUCAAUGUUUUUAUAUUUUUAAAGUACGUGCUGGAGCACAGAUAGAAUGUUAUGAGUUUACCCAUUAAAAAUAAAGUUAUAUUGAAAAUCCCAGUUAAUCAUCUUCAAACUUUUAACAACUCAACAUGAAGAAUUUGGUAAUCCUUUUCGUUUUGGAAAUCAAGGGUGAAUGCUCUGUUCAAAUUCCCUAUUUCCCUGACGCCCAAUGUGGAUAUGCCAGCGAAUGUGUCUAUCAUGGGAUAAAUAAAGCUGAUAUCACUAAUGAGGCUUGUCGUCGUCGAGAACAGGGAAAACCACCAUUUUUUGCUGUAAAAGAGGGAAAUUGUCCCACAAACAGUCCUAAAUGUAUAUAAUAAGUAUUUUAAAAUAUUUUACAAAAUAAAUUCCGAUUUUCACAAAUUUAUUAUUUGCUGAACUUUUAAAGUCGUUCUGGUAAAUAAAAUUUGAUUUAUUACCCACUUAGUUGUGCUUAAACAAAAAUCAUUUUUAUAUUCUAAAAGAACGUGUUGGAUCAUAAGAUGCCUGAUUUUACUUUUCCCAUUAUAUAGAAACCUAUCUCAUAACCACAAAGUCAGUUAUCCCAAAACCUUUACCAAGUCAUCAUGAAGACUUUCGGUAUUGUUUUCAUUUUCGUUAUCCUAAUACUAGAAAUAAGGGGUAAAUGCAAUUUGACUAUUCCACAAUAUCUCCAUCCUUAUUGCGGAAUUACUAGAGGAUGUGUCUUUGAUGGCGGAAAUGAGGUUGACAUCGCGAAUGAAUCCUGCAGGCGUAAACAGCAGGGAAAGCCACUAUUCUUGGAAAUAAGAAAUGGAUAUUGUGAAUCGAACAAACCUCAGUGUGAAAGGACCCCUUUAAGGUUCUAAGAUAAUUUCAGACCAUUAAUAUGGCUCUUUAACAUUUUAAAAUAAAUCAAAAUUUUCCGCUAAUCUACGGAAUAAUUUCCUUUCUCUUUUCUAGCAUAUCUUAAAUAUUUAAUCUCAUAUUUAAAUAGCAGUAUGAGUGUCUUUGUUCUUAUUUUUAUUAUAAUUGCGAAAAUAUUUGGAAUCGCAAGUGGGAUAAGUAAGUGCGAUGGAUAUAUAAAACCUACUGGAAAACCCAUUUGUGCUUUUGAUAAAAAUUGUUUCUAUCAAGGCAUUAAUAUUUGGGAUGUGGGACAAGAGCAGUGCAAACGAACUGAACAAGGAAAGCCUCUCUUUUUAAAACUUGGGCGUGGAAAAUGUCCCACUAACAAGCCUGCGUGCAACAAAACUCAAUCAAAGUAAAGCACGAAUUUAAAAAUUAUAAAAAUUAUUAAAAUAUAUAAGUAAAUAAAUAUAUAUACAAAUAUCUAACACAAUGAAAAUAUAAUAAAAGCUGUUAUAACUCAACCUCUUCUUCAAAUAAAUCUAAAGAUUUUGUCUGCUUAAUUGAUUCUUCUCGGGAAUUAAAAAAUUAAGCCCUAACCUAUAAAAGCCACGUAUUUGGUUUGAAAAUGUCAAACUCUUAGGAAGAUGAAGCUCAUAACAAUUUUCAUUCUAGCCACUACAGCUUUGCAAAUCGACGGUGCUUGCAAUAGAAUGGUUAAACUUUCAUUAAGUCCUGCUUGUGGGGUCCUUCCAGAUUGUUAUUUCGAAGGCCUAAAUAGCGACUACAUAAGUAUUGAGGAGUGCAAGCGAAAAGAAAAAGGACUUAGCGGAUUUCUUUCCACAAUGGAAGGAAAAUGUCCUAAGGAUAAACCUGCUUGCCCACAGCCUGUUCCGUUUCCAUGGAGUAUAUGGGCAUGAGGAUUUAAGAUGUACAUUAUAAUUUCUUUCAAGAUAUUAAUAAAUUAAAUAGAGAAAGAAAUAUAUUUGAAAUAUAUUCUUCUGAUCCUAAUGGGCGAUGUAAUUAACUAUUAACUUAUGUAAAUAUUAACUCUAUUAUUAGACCGUAAAACGAACUCAUAAGCCUGAGUAUGAUAAAUCCGAUCCAAAGAUUUGUCUGCAUAAUUGAAUUUUCUCAGAUAUUAAAAAAAUUUUCUACUGAUAAUAAUGAACUAAGUAGGGAACGAUUUUUCUACGUAAUUUCAUUUAUAAAGACUAAAGAAAUAAUUUCAAAUAAACUAUUUACACUUUUCCACUUUAGAUCUUAAACCGAACUCAUUAUUAAAAAUGAUCAAACUAUUAUAUAGUUAUAGAUCUCUUCUAUAAUGAAAUAUU